rnacentral:rRNA from 1 species
GAAUAUUAGUCAAUGAUCGAAAGAUUGACCCAGUUAUCUAUAAUAAUGAAAUUAAAAUAAAUUUUUGAAAAAAAAAGAAAACCAAAAAUAAUUAAUUGGUAAAAAAUAAAGUUAUAGGAUAGUGAAAAUAAUGAUAGUAGCUAUAUCUGAUAGUUACAACUAAAAUAUGUGCCAGCAGUUGCGGUUAGACAUAGGUAGCAAGUAUUAGUCAUAUUGGUUUAAAGGAUCCGUAGAAUUUAUAUAAAAAAAGAUAUAUAGAGUUAAUAAAAGUAAUAAAUGAAUUAUAAAAGUAAUGAUGAAAUAUUAUAAUAUUUAUAGGACAGACUAGUUCGAAAGUUUUUAUUAUUUAUUAACUGACAUUGAGGGAUGAAGGCUAAAGUAAUGACAUGGAUUCGAUACCCAAUUAAUUUUAGCAGUAAACUAUGAAUACCAUUUAUUAUUAAAAUAAAAAAAAUAAUAAAUAAGAGAAAUCAAUAGUAUUCCACCAGGAGAGUAUAAUUACUAAAUUAAAACCCAAUACAAUAGACGGUUAUAAUCAAUAGCAGUGGAGUAUGUUAUUUAAU